rnacentral:rRNA from 1 species
UGCCGCCUAAUUUGGGACAUAGACUCUUCCAAGGCAAAAUAUGACGAGAGACUGAAAACGAAAAAAUACUGUGAAGGAAAUAUGCAAAGCACUUUGAAAUGAGAGCUAAAAGACUUGAAUCACUGAAGAGGUAACAGGGAACUUCAGGU